GACGAACGCUGGCGGCGUGCCUAAUACAUGCAAGUAGAACGCUGAAGGAGGAGCUUGCUUCUCUGGAUGAGUUGCGAACGGGUGAGUAACGCGUAGGUAACCUGCCUGGUAGCGGGGGAUAACUAUUGGAAACGAUAGCUAAUACCGCAUAAGAGUAGAUGUCGCAUGACAUUUGCUUAAAAGGUGCAAUUGCAUCACUACCAGAUGGACCUGCGCUGUAUUAGCUAGUUGGUGAGGUAACGGCUCACCAAGGCAACGAUACAUAGCCGACCUGAGAGGGGGAUCGGCCACACUGGGACUGAGACACGGCCCAGACUCCUACGGGAGGCAGCAGUAGGGAAUCUUCGGCAAUGGACGGAAGUCUGACCGAGCAACGCCGCGUGAGUGAAGAAGGUUUUCGGAUCGUAAAGCUCUGUUGUAAGAGAAGAACGAGUGUGAGAGUGGAAAGUUCACACUGCGACGGUAUCUUACCAGAAAGGGACGGCUAACUACGUG
rnacentral:rRNA from 1 species